GUUGGUGGGGUAACGGCCUACCAAGGCAACGAUGCGUAGCCGACCUGAGAGGGUGAUCGGCCACAUUGGGACUGAGACACGGCCCAAACUCCUACGGGAGGCAGCAGUAGGGAAUCUUCCGCAAUGGACGAAAGUCUGACGGAGCAACGCCGCGUGAGUGAUGAAGGUCUUCGGAUCGUAAAACUCUGUUGUCAGGGAAGAACAAGUGCCAUUUGAAUAAGGUGGCACCUUGACGGUACCUGACCAGAAAGCCCCGGCUAACUACGUGCCAGCAGCCGCGGUAAUACGUAGGGGGCAAGCGUUGUCCGGAAUUAUUGGGCGUAAAGCGCGCGCAGGCGGUCCUUUAAGUCUGAUGUGAAAGCCCACGGCUUAACCGUGGAGGGUCAUUGGAAACUGGGGGACUUGAGUGCAGAAGAGGAGAGUGGAAUUCCAUGUGUAGCGGUGAAAUGCGUAGAGAUAUGGAGGAACACCAGUGGCGAAGGCGACUCUCUGGUCUGUAACUGACGCUGAGGCGCGAAAGCGUGGGUAGCGAACAGGAUUAGAUACCCUGGUAGUCCACGCCGUAAACGAUGAGUGCUAGGUGUUAGGGGGUUUCCGCCCCUUAGUGCUGAAGUUAACGCAUUAAGCACUCCGC
rnacentral:rRNA from 1 species